UAAUAAACAUUAACCAGAUGUUUAGCAUUAGCUAAUUCACUCAGAUUAGCUUUCAAAAUGUUUUAAAACAUUUUUUUAUUAAAACAAGCAUUGUUUAUGAUGCCAUUGUUAUUUAAAAUGUUGUUAACGCAAUCUUCACAAACAGUUUUAGAGUUUUCAGUCCCUCCCUUUUCAAGUUGACAGGAGCUAUUUUUGUAGAAUGCCAGUAUGGCCGCCAAGUGAACCAACUUCCCUUUAAAGGGAUUUUUUUAACAGAAGGCAUCCAGUCUGGUGUCAUCUGAGUGAUCUUCAGACUGGAAGGCCCCUUGAUUUAAGCCAGUAUUUAAUUGAGCCAAAAAAACAAACAAAAAAACAUCUGCUGAGAAUACAACUUGAGGAGCGAGGACAAGAUUGGCUGAAGAAGCAGCUUAAGAACUUUACAAGCACAGACAUGAAGAACAUCUUCUUUGAUUUCUUUAACUACUGCCAAGGAGUUGAGGAGGGCAACAUUCACUGGUCGAAAGUGCUGAAUGCUUAAUAAAAGCAGAACACCAGAUUGCAUGGUCACUAUAUCUGAGGCUUCCAGUAAGGAAUGCAAUAACAUUCUCUGUAUCACACACUCAAAAGGCUUAAUACUAAACACAAAGAAGGGGCACUACAGCCUUAAUAGUGGAUUUGGCAGUUUGACAGAGAGAGGACACAUAAGAAAACACACAAAUAGUAAUUAUAAAACCAAGCUAUCAUAAUGCAAUUACUAGAUCUUCUGUCUCUAAUCACUGUUACUGC